rnacentral:rRNA from 1 species
UGGGUGCGACCCGAAACCAGGCGAUCUACGCGCGAGCAAGGUGAAGCGUGGCGAAAGCCACGUGGAGGCCUGUUAGAGUUGGUGUUCUACAAUACCCUCUCGUGACUCGUGUGUAGGGGUGAAAGGCCCAUCGAGCCUGGCAACAGCUGGUUCCAACCGAAACAUGUCGAAGCAUGACCUCAUCCGAGGUAGCCCGCGGGGUAGAGCUACCGAUUGGAUGACCCGCCUCCGAGAGGAGUCGGCCAUCCUGUCGAACUCCAAACCCGCAGGCGCUGUAGACGAUGGGAGUCCGGUGCGCGGGGUAAGCCUGUGUACCGUGAGGGGAACAACCCAGAGCCGGGUUAAGGUCCCAAAGUGUAGAUUAAGUGCGAUUCGAAGGUGGUCUCAAGCCCUAAACAGCCGGGAGGUGAGCUUAGAAGCAGCUACCCGCUAAGAAAAGCGUAACAGCUUACCGGCCGAGGUUUGAGGCGCCCAAAAUGAUCGGGGCUCAAAUCUACCACCGAGACCUGGCCGUAUCCGUGAAAGGAUAACCGCGUAGGUUGGCGUACUGGUCGGACGGAAGCCCGGGCGAGAGCUCGUGUGGACCGUCCAGUAACGACAAUCCUGGUCACAGUAGCAGCGAUAGUCGGGUGAGAACCUCGACGGCCUGAAGAGCAAGGGUUCCUCGGCACUGCCGUUCAGCCGAGGGUUAGCCGGUCCUAAGGUGUACCACAACUUGACUACACCGACGGGAAGCUGGUUAAUAUUCCAGCGCCAUCGUGCAGUAAACGCCGACGCCGUGUGGAACGCUGAGCCGGGCACUCGCCCGGUCGAAUCGUGGAAACUCGUGGAAGCCGUCACGGCACGAAGCGAGCGAAACGCGAGACAGCGAAAGUCAGCCGUACAUAGGGCCCGUGAAAAGGCAAGCAUGAUGUCCGUACCGAGAUCCGACACAGGUGCUCUGCCAGCGCAAGGCAAGGCCUGUCGGGAGAACCGACGUUAGGGAAUUCGGCAAGUUAGUCCCGUACCUUCGGAAGAAGGGAUGCCUGCUCUCGACGGAGCAGGUCGCAGUGACUCGGGCGCUCCGACUGUCUAGUAACAACACAGGUGACCGCAAAUCCGCAAGGACUCGUACGGUCACUGAAUCCUGCCCAGUGCGGGUAUCUGAACACCUCGUACAAGAGGACGAAGGACCCGUCAACGGCGGGGGUAACUAUGACCCUCUUAAGGUAGCGUAGUACCUUGCCGCUUCAGUAGCGGCUUGCAUGAAUGGAUAAACGAGAGCGCCACUGUCCCAACGUUGGACCCGGUGAACUGUACGUUCCAGUGCGGAGUCUGGAGACCCCCAAGGGGAAGCGAAGACCCUAUAGAGCUUUACUGCAGGCUGUCGCUGAGACGUGGUCGC